UUCAGCUGCAUAUGAUAGAUGACCGAGUGACUUCUUCCUUGGGGUCCGCACAUCAGCGGAAGACACCGAACACUGGCGGUGGCUGACUUGAUCGAGCUCUGGCUCCCCAAACUGGAAUGAAAUGCAGUUAACUCUUUAGAAAACUUACGCAGGAAAGGCGCCUCGGGUGAUCUGGAACAAAGACAUUUUAUAAUCAGAUUUAUCAAGCUGUGAAGAGGGAGUUUUAGUGAACGGAAGCAGCAGCAUUCUGUCACCAGGAAAUAACUGCUUCAUCCAGAAUUGAGUUCAUUGCUGUAGAUGGAUUGCGGCCCCUUGUCGUCCUCUGCUCUGUCAUCAUCUGCUAUUAAACACCCUCCCUGUUGUGCAAGAGCCCCUCCCCAGAAGGCUGCGGAUCACCUAGCUGCUGGUGUGUGUAGGUGCCCUCAAGGGCUCAGUAGCCAGUGUAGACCCUGUCUUUAGGAAUCAGUAGCUACAUCUGGCUACUGGGUCUCUGAUGGCAUCUUCUGGCAUCUGUGACCGUGUCCUGAGCGAGGUUGUUUGGGAGUCCUUCUUAAUUCACGUGUUACCUUGAUUUACACACACACACACACACACACACACACACGCACACGUAGAAUUAAGUUCUGGAGUGGUACGUCUUCCGUUAUUAGCUGGAGUGUGAGAACCCUCCAGGUUGAAUGAAUGAUGAGGUGAAUUGAUUUCAGCACCACAAGGAAGAGGAAUCCGUAGACUUUUCUUUUUCUUUCCUCUUUUCCCCAUGUGGAAGGUGUCUUCUGGUCACAAAAUCGUCUACCUACUUACUUAUCUACCUGUAUACCUUAUCCAGCCAGCCAGCCAGCCACCUCCCCAUCUGCUCAU